rnacentral:lncRNA from 1 species
AGAUUUCAUUGAGUGCUUUUUUCAAACACCUUGAGUGCAACAUUAAAAUAUGCAGUUGUAAAGAUUUGAGAGUUGAAAAUGUAGAACCAAAAUCAAACACUAACCUUUGUUGUUAGCUUCAGAUUGAAGAUUGAAGAUUGAAGAUGAAGGUUUGGCUUGAGUCAUAAAUAACAAUGAUGCUUUUAGCCUCGACUAACAGAAGUGUGUGUGCAAAUUACUUUAACCCUUAGCCCCUAGGGGGAGAAUUGAUAUAACACAGAGACAAAGAAAAAAUUGUAACAAGAAAAUAAUUUAUUUUUUUUAAGACAACAGAAAAUAAUUUAAGGAUGACUUUUUCAAUAGCCAUUAACGAUGAAAAUUGGAUUCUGUAAAAAAAAAUAUAAUUAUCUUAU